UACAGAGGUGGCAAGCGUUGUUCGGAAUUACUGGGCGUAAAGGGCGCGUAGGCGGUUCGAUAAGUCCCGUGUGAAAUCCCUCGGCUCAACUGAGGAAUGGCACGGGAAACUGACGGGCUUGAGUUCGGGAGAGGGAAGCGGAAUUCCGGGUGUAGCGGUGAAAUGCGUAGAUAUCCGGAGGAACACCGGUGGCGAGGGCGGCUUCCUGGACCGACACUGACGCUGAGGCGCGAAAGCUAGGGGAGCAAACGGG
rnacentral:rRNA from 1 species